AAUUCAAUAAAUCUGCAUUCCAUAUAAUGAUUCAAAAUUAAAAAAAAUUACCGAAGUCUUCAUCAUUCGAUAACUCAAUAAUAAGAUAUUUCUCUUGAUGCCUCGUCCUCACUUUUCUCAUGGCUGUACUAGAACUACUACUGUUGCUUGGGACCAUUGUAACACUUUGAACCUUAAUUCUCGUCAGUGUUAUAUUCAAUAAGGUCUAAGAACUUGUCGACCUUGAUUGAGAGUAAGAGCACCACAGUGUUUUGGUUGUUGCCCUUCAAAGAAUUGAGUGGAAGCCUCCUCUUAUUUGUUGUCCUCGUGCUUUGAUUCGUUGAGGCCCAUUGGAUGCUGAUGUGGUAUGAAUGGGUGAGGCUAGGGUAGACGAUGAGGCCGCCACUGGCCAGGGCGAGGAUGAUAGGACAAUGGGCGAGCAAGUUGGAAAGAGGGGCGAUGAUAGGUCCUCAAGAAAGCAAAGGGAAUGAAGAAAGACGCCCUAGCUAUUGCCCUUCACAGGUUCAAGAGGUAGCCUCCUCCUCUUCAUCGUCCUCACGCUUCGAUUCGUCGAGGCCCACCGGGACAUUGAUGUGGUAGGGGAUGGUGAGGGUAGGGUAGAUGACGAAGUCGUCGUUGGCUAAGGUGAAGCUAAUGGGGUGACAGGCGAGGAAAUAAGGGAGAUGAUUGGUCCUCAAGAAAGUGGAGGGGAGGAGGAAAGUGACACUUUGAGACGGUGCCCUGGUCGUUGUCCUUCAUAGGUUCAAGAGGCAACCUCGUCAUAUAGAAAUAGGGGUAAUUAUUGGUCCUUAAGAAUGUAGAGGGG
rnacentral:lncRNA from 1 species